rnacentral:rRNA from 1 species
UACGUAGGGUGCAAGCGUUGUCCGGAAUUACUGGGCGUAAAGGGCUCGUAGGCGGCCAACUAAGUCGGAUGUGAAAUCCCCAGGCUCAACCUGGGAACUGCAUCCGAUACUGGAUGGCUUGAAUUCGGGAGAGGGAUGCAGAAUUCCAGGUGUAGCGGUGAAAUGCGUAGAUAUCUGGAGGAAUACCGGUGGCGAAGGCGGCAUCCUGGACCGACAUUGACGCUGAGGAGCGAAAGCUAGGGGAGCAAACGGG